GACGAACGCUGGCGGCGUGCUUAACACAUGCAAGUCGAGCGGUAAGGCCCUUUCGGGGGUACGACGAGCGGCGAACGGGUGAGUAACACGUGGGUGACCUGCCCUCCAGCUCUGGGAUAAGCCUGGGAAACCGGGUCUAAUACUGGAUAUGACUCCAUGACGCAUGUUGUGGGGUGGAAAGCCUUGUGCGGCUGAGGAUGGGCCCGCGGCCUAUCAGCUUGUUGGUGGGGUGAUGG
rnacentral:rRNA from 1 species